rnacentral:sRNA from 1 species
UCGCGUACUCUAGGGCAGCUAAACUUGA